rnacentral:misc_RNA from 1 species
AUCAAACAAUCUUUAUUACAUUCACUUUCUUAUCUCGUUAGCGGUAAACGAAACUAUGAAUUAUUAAAAUAGAAAACAUAUGUUCAACAAUGGAGAAAAUAAGUCAAUAAAGCCACUAUUUUUUUCCCUAAUGCAAAAUGUGCAGCUUGAUCGAUCAGUCUGUCAUUCCUUGAACAAGCUCACCAUUUGCAUGAGUAUACCACUGAUAUAAUCACCAAUGUUCUUCCUCCCAGAAACAUGGCCUGACAUAAUCCCAAUGUUGUUCCUCCCAAAAACAUGGCCUUCUAUUGGAGGAAGUUGAAAUUUCAGUCCUUAACGAUUUCUAUACCUUCAACUCCACCUCUUACCCAACCAUUGCUAUCAUCUUCUAAAUCGCGAAUAUUUUCUACUCCAUCUAAAUACUCUUUACUGACUCUACUGUAAUCCAUCCAUCUUCUAUUUCUAGAUUUCUCCAUGAUUGUUCAAGAUAUUCCUUAUUUUUCUCUUAGUGCACUUCAGUUCAAGCAGAAGGAAAAAUUGAUGCGUGCUUCAGCUCAAAUCCUUGGAAAAAUUGAUGCGUGCUUCAGCUCAAAUCCUU